UUUCCACGCUCCGUCAUGCACUCGAUCCUCGGAGGGAAAACCAAGCCAGCGUCAGCGGCUUGGAGCGCCUGGUGCCGCGGCGGCCUUGGCGGGUCAGUGUCACGCAGAGAGCCUGUGUGCCAACAGUCUGGCGCCUCGUGUUGCGCGGUCGAGUGUUCGCGCUGUCACUUUAGACUUACCAGGAUGGUUCUCCAGAAGAGCUGCGGCCUCUGCGGUGACUCAGCUGCCGGCGUCCCUUGCUGCAACUGCAACGAGGUCCACUACUGCUCCAAGGACCACCAGGAGCGCCACUGGGACUGCCACAAAGACCAGUGCCACCCUUACAAAGAAGAAUGCGACCCUGAGCGCGGAAGAUAUUUAGUGGCUAGUCGAGACCUUACUCCGGGCGAGCUUCUCUUUUCGGAGUCGCCCGUCGCCCUGGGCCCGCUUGGCAGCUGCCGCCUUUUGUGCUUGGGAUGCCACGAGUUCAUCCAGGGGGAUGAGUUCGUCCGCUGCCCCGGGUGCUGGUGGCCCCUGUGCUCCUCCGGCUGCGCGUCCAGCAAGUUCCACGUCGACGAGUGCCCGAAGCUGGCGCAGGACACCAAGCACAUCGGACAGCCGCCGUGUCAGGAGGACACAGUCCGCUACGACAUCAUACUUUCCCUGCGCUGUCUGCUUUUGAAGUUCAAUGCUCCCGAUAAAUGGUCGCGUGUGCAAGAUAUGGCGAGCCACGCCCAGCGUCGCGUUGACGGCAAGGACUCCAGCCACAUCACCACAGUGCGCUACAUCACGGAGGUCCUCGGGGAUGAGUUUGACGAAGACGACGCCCACCAUGUGCACGACGCGAUUGUGAGCAACUGCUUCGAAUGGCGGAGUCCUUCGGGAGUACGGCUCCGCGGGGUCUAUCCGCUGCUGGCGCGCAUGAAUCAUGCCUGCCUGCCGAAUGUCACGUUGUUUUCAGACAAAGAAGGCACAAUGUAUGUACGGAGUGCUUUUAACAUAAAGUGCGGUGAACCUCUUGCCAUCACUUACGUGGGAACUAGUGUACCUUUCUGGGACCGACAGAGAUACACGAGAGAUGUCCAUUACUUCAAGUGUGACUGCGUUCGCUGCGAAGACCCCACCGAGUUGGGCCUUCACUAUUCUUCCCCGAAGUGUGAAAAGUGUCGAGACCAGUUCAUGGAGCCAAACACGUGGCUCGGCGACACCAAGUGGGAGUGCCCGCUCUGCGGCUCCCAGGAGGAGGAGGCGGUCAUCCGCUACCAGGCUGACGAAUGGCUCGCUUGGUUUGAGACAAAAGACACAUUUCUUAAGAGCACCCGCUUUGCCAUCAAAAGCGUCAUGGAAAAGGUAAAAGCAGCGUUUCACAGCCAGCACUACGUGUGGGAGAAGGCGGCGCUCGUGGCCGUCCGGGCGCUCAAGGAAGACAAGUCCGUCGAGGGAAUCACUCUCAUGCGCGACCUGUGGCGACGCCUCCUGAAGCUGUACGAUGUGCUGGAGCCCGGCAUGACGCGCAGGAGAGGCGUCACGCUCUACGAGCUGGGGAUCUCGGAGGCCAACCUGGCCAGCGCGGAAAUGAAAGCCGGGAAGCUCACCAGCUACUUCUACAAGCGGCACCUGAGCGAGGCGCUGGAGCACCUGGAGGAGGCCAGCGCCAUCCUGGCCCAGGAGCCGCCGACCUCGAACGAGCGGCGCUGGCACACGCGCGCCGUGGACACCGUCGCUAUGGUUCGCCUCGACCUCGCGAAGGAGGAGGGCGCCGGGGAGGCCGUCGCUCCGGCACACGCGCAGGAGAGACCACGGAUGGCGGGAGAGGAGGGAGCCUGCGGCGUCUGCGGCACAGCUGCAAAGCUCAGGUGCGGCGGAUGCAGCAACGUGCACUACUGCUGCCGAGACCACCAGCGCAAGCACUGGGCGCAGCAUCGGGAGGAGUGCAGGCCUAUAAAGCAGAUCGAGAGCGCCCAGGAUGGAAGGUACCUGGUUGCCUCCCGCGACCUGGCCGCCGGGCAGCUGGUCCUGAAUGAGAGUCCUGUGGUCUGCGGUCCCACCGGCACGUGCUUCCCCCUCUGCCUGGGCUGCCACUCGGCCAUCACAGACCUGGAGGCCUUCCGUUGCCCCGGAUGUUUCUGGCCCAUGUGCUCCCCUGAGUGCCACCAGAAGGACCUCCACGCCAAGGAGUGUGGCAUUCUGGCGCAGGACGUCAAGCGGGUCGGUCCCCCGACCAGCUUAGGCGUCACACCGCGAUAUGACAUGAUACUGGUCCUUCGCUGCCUUCUCCUGCGCGAAGCAAACCCGACCAUCUGGGACCGUCUCAUGACCAUGGAAAGCCACGUAGAUGCUCGCCGGGAGCAGCAGGAGCCCUACCACAUGGCAGGAGUUCGCUUCCUGACGGAGGUGCUGAACUGUGGCUUUGAUGCGGACACAGUGCACAGAGUUCGAGGCAUCAUGAUAACCAACUGCAUCAACAUUCGGGGUCCAAAAGGGGAGCACCUGCGCGGUAUAUACCCUAACAUUGCUCUUCUAAAUCACUCGUGCUUACCCAACUUAACAAUAAGAUCCGACGUUAAUAAUGCACUUUACAUCCGCACGGCCGUAGCCAUCAAGAAAGGAGAUCCGCUCGUGUUCAGCUACACGCCCCCGGAGGAGCCUCUUUGGGAGAGGCAGUUUGACUUCCAAAACGUUUACUUCUUUUCCUGCAAGUGCCGCCGAUGUGGAGAUCCCACAGAGCUUGGCACUCACUACUCCUCGCCACGCUGCCCAAAGUGCCCAGAGAAGUUCCUGGAACCGCGGGACGGAGUCGAUGCUCCUUGGAAGUGCCCCGAGUGCGGGGAGAAAAGGGAGAGCCAGGAAAUCAAAGACGAAGCAGAGCGUCACGUCAAAGACAUAGACGAGCGAUGCAGUUCGGCCGGCGAGGUGGAGAGCUUCCUGACGGGGAUCACACGCACAUUCCACGACAGCCACUACGUGUGGGUGACGGCGGCCCAGGCGAGCUUAAGGGUGCUCAAGAACGACACCAGUUUAGCGGCACUCAAGCUGCAGCAGGAGAUAUGGAGGCGACUCAUGGGGAUCUAUCAGCUCUUCGAACCUGGGCUCACGCGGAGGAGAGGAGUGUCGCUGUUCCAGCUGUCCAUGGUGGAAACGCGAGUGGCGCAGACCCAGCGCGCUGAAGGAGAGCUCACUCCCCCCGCAUACAUCGCCGCCCUCGCGCGCAUCCUUCGCCAGCUCGAGUACGCCGCCCAGAUCCUCGAGCUGGAGCCAAGCAACUCCAGCGAGCGCCACUGGAAGGCGCGGGCGACGGAGAAGGCGGCGGCGAUUUCCGAAGCGAUCGCCAUUCUGCAGCAGAGCGGCGACUCGCACCUGGACGACGACGCGGACGCGGGUCGCCUUCAAGGAGAGAACUGAUCCGCUACUCACUGCGGUGUAUUAUGUCAGAUACUCCGUGCAGAGGUCAGCGGGGUGACACGUUAAUUGCUCGACACAAUGACCUGAGCCACUGCAACCGUUGCUUUCAUUCAGUCUCUGGGUGGAGUCGUGGACCUCUGCAUGGUGCUGGCUCAUGCAACGUCAACACGCCUCACCGGUGAUUCUGAGGUGGGAAUCGGCGGUCACGCGAGCGAGUGCGCGUGGCUGCGUGUCAGGUCACAGCGAGGGAGUGAGCGGGAUCCCGGGAGCACAACACACACCGUCCUUCCUCCACGGAGUCCGGCUGGAAACUGACGCCUCAUCGUGACUGGCAAAAGAGCGGCAAUAUGACCUUCGAGUUCCUUCAGUGACGGCUGUAAAGCUCACAUGUUACGCUGUGAAGAUAAUUAAACGAUUAUUAUACAACA